UGGGAUUAAAGGCAUAUGCCACUAUGCCCAG
rnacentral:piRNA from 1 species